rnacentral:rRNA from 1 species
UACAGAGGUCCCGAGCGUUGUUCGGAUUCAUUGGGCGUAAAGGGUGCGUAGGCGGCGGGGCAAGUCUGAUGUGAAAUCCCGGGGCUCAACCCCGGAACUGCAUUGGAUACUGCCUUGCUAGAGUACUGGAGAGGGAACUGGAAUCUACGGUGUAGCAGUGAAAUGCGUAGAGAUCGUAAGGAAGGCCAGUGGCGAAGGCGAGUUCCUGGACAGUUACUGACGCUGAGGCACGAAGGCCAGGGGAGCAAACGGG